CAUGCUGUUCUGUCUCAGUGCCUGCUCCCAUACAGGCAAGAAGGCAAAUGACAACCUGGCUGCUGUCUUCCAGCAGCCUCCUUCUCCCUGUGAGCCUUUUCAUGGGACCAGAACAUGCUGCUUGUCACAGAGGUGUCCUCUGAAAACUGAUGGGGAAGAGUCAGGCAUGCAACUACCCCCACCAAUAGGAGUGGUGUGAACCCCAUGGUUUAGAGGGAAACAAAGCCAAAGCAGCUACAAAGAGCACAACAAAAACUCCACCCACUUCACGUGGACACCUACGCAAAAUGAGCGGACUGAGCAUCUCAGGUUCUUAGAAAAACACUCAGCCUGGCAAACAAGCAUGUCCUAAGAUUUCACCUGAGGCCGUUUGGAAAUGAUCCUUGCUCUGCUCUGCACAAUGGAACUAUU